GCAGUGACUGCAGGCGCAUCACGCGGUCGUUGGUCCUCACCGCCGUCCAGUCUCACCACCUCCCCGACAUCCACACUGAACAGAAACAUAUCACGGUCGACACAGGCUCUGCACUCCGAGCUAGUGGACACCGACAGUACGGACGAGUUUGUAGUGGUCAACCUGAAGAAGACAGACUCCGGUAGCAUCGGAAUGGGACUGAUUGAUGGAACACUAAUGGGCGCAGCUCCUGGCCUGUACAUCUCCUCUCUUGUUCCCGGUUACCCAGCAGCAGAGAGUGGCAAGUUACGCGAAGGUGAUAAGCUACUGGCCAUCAACAGUUGCAACCUGAGUCGCGCAUCACAAUCCCAAGCGUACGAUGUCUUGAAGUCCACGUCACGUCGCGUGACAAUACUUGCCAUACGAGAUGCCGAAA